GGCUAGCUCAAUCGGUAGAGCGUAAGACUCUUAAUCUUAAGGCUGCGGGUUCGACCCCCGCGUUCGGCU
rnacentral:tRNA from 1 species